GAUAGCCAUAUAGAGGAUAGUUGGGCUAUUAAUAUCUCAUUUACCCACCAUUUGAUAGCCUUUUUAAGCAAUAUCACAAGCCCGUUAAAAAUGAAGGCCCGCAUUAAUUUUCACUGUUUCUUCUCGCUUAUGGAACGAGCGUCGACCCCAAUAUUCAUUAAACCAUUUCUACAGUAAAAUGAUACUAUUUUUUCCUCUAACCAUUUUGCCCUUCAAAAAUUCGAACUGCAUAAAAUUCCUCUUCGCGCUUCAUCAAGCUCAGAUUUGUUCUGACUCCAUCACAAAUUGGUGCUCUCAUCACCGGCGAAUUGAAAGCAAGGGAAGAAAAAGAGGUUUGGAUGCAAUAGAGAGUUGCACUGACACAGCUGCUUCAAUUUGAAGAUCUGGGAAACGAACAAGGGAGAUCGAGGACGCGGGCUGCGGAUUGUGCCUUUUCAGCCUUGAAGAGCAACCUAACCAGUUCGUGUUAAUUCAACAUGCCGAUCGAUGAUAAUAAUACCGUCUGUCUGUACUUGUUGAUGGAGGAGAUGUUCCAACAACGUUUGUUUUUUAUGUUGAUAGCUUAUGUUAUAGUUAGGAUGAGGUUACGUAAACGAAAAAGAGGUGCUAAUGCAGUAGGAUUUGGUUAUAUCGAACGCAUCCCUGCUCAGGACAAGCAUAUGAACAGACUUGUAGGUGUUAGCGACGUAGAUUGCAUUGCAAACUUACGAAUGGAUCGCAACACUUUCGGCAGGUUAUGUAUUCUAUUGCGCGAAUUAGGGGGGCUAACUGAUGGGCGGUAUGUUAGCGUCGAAGAACAAGUUGCAAUGUUCUUAACAACCCUAGCUCACCAUAAAAAAAAUAGGGUAGUUAGGUUUGAUUUUUGGAGGUCGGGGCAAACCGUUUCCAAAUUUGUGCAUCUUGUUUUAAAGGCUGUUUUGAAACUACAUGUGAUCUUGUUGGUGAAACCUGAAGCGGUACCGGAGAACUGCCAAGACAACCGAUGGCGGUGGUUUAAGGGUUGUUUGGGUGCUCUCGACGGUACAUAUAUAAAUGUAAUGGUACGAAAUGUUGACAGACCGAGAUAUCGAACACGGAAAGGGCAAAUCUCAACAAACACGCUAGCAGUUUGCGACCGUAACAUGAAAUUUGCUUAUGUUUUGCCCGGGUGGAAAGGUUCAGCAGCUGAUUCGAGGGUUUUGCGCGACUCUCUCACACGUGUGAAUGGCUUCA